GAACGCUGGCGGCGUGCUUUACACAUGCAAGUCGAACGGCAGCACGGGGGCANCCCUGGUGGCGAGUGGCGAACGGGUGAGUANUACAUCNGAACGUGUCCUGGANUGGGGGAUAGCCCGGCGAAANCCGGAUUAAUACCGCAUACGCUCUGAGGAGGAAAGGGGGGGAUCGCAAGACCUCUCGCUCAAGGAGCGGCCGAUGGCAGAUUAGGUAGUUGGUGGGGUAAAGGCCCACCAAGCCGACGAUCUGUAGCUGGUCUGAGAGGACGACCAGCCACACUGGGACUGAAACACGGGCCAGACUCCUACGGGAGGCAGCAGUGGGGAAUCUUGCACAAUGGGGGCAACCCUGAUGCAGCGACGCCGCGUGAGCGAUGAAGCCCUUCGGGGUGUAAAGCUCUUUCGGCCGGAACGAUAAUGACGGUACCGGCAGAAGAAGCUGCGGCUAACUACGUGCCAGCAGCCGCGGUAAUACGUAGGCAGCGAGCGUUGUUCGGAGUUACUGGGCGUAAAGAGUGCGUAGGCGGUGCUCUAACUUUGGUGUGAAAUCUCCCGGCUUAACUGGGAGGGUGCGCCGAAAACUGGAGUGCUCGAAUGUGGGAGAGGUAAGCGGAAUUCCUGGUGUAGCGGUGAAAUGCGUA
rnacentral:rRNA from 1 species